CCCUGGGGAAUUCCGCGCCGCGAAAGGCUUAAAAACUCCAAAACGAAAUUGACCGGGGUCCCCCGCGACAAGGCACAGCGGAGAGCGCGUGUGUGGUCCAAUCCGAGAGUGUUCACACCGAAAGAGAACCUUUACCUGGGGUUUGGACAUGUUGGGUAGUUAGUGAAAGCGAAAGCGGGACCGACCUCUCGGGGGAGCCUACAACAGGGUGCUGCAUGGCUGUCGUCCAGCUCGUGCCGUGGAGGUUGUCGGGUUAAGUCCCGUAACGAGCGCAACCCCUCGUCCUUAGUUACAAGUGUCUAGGGAGACUGCCGGCGACAAGCCGGAGGAAGGUGAGGAUGACGUCAAGUCAGCAUGGCCUUUAUAUCCAGGGCUACACACACGCUACAAUGGCCGGCACAAUUGGUUGGCCAGCCCGCGAGGCGGAGCUAAUCCACCAAAGCCGGUCUCAGUUCGAAUUGCAGGCUGCAACUCGCCUGCAUGAAGCUGGAGUUGCUAGUAAUCGCGCGUCAGCAAUAGUGCGGUGAAUACGUUCCCGGGGAUUGUACACACCGCCCGUCACGUCAUGGAAGCUGGCAACACCUGAAGCCGGUGGGCCAC
rnacentral:rRNA from 1 species